UGUGUGUGUGUGUGUGUGUCCAAUGUGCCCGUCCCAGUAAAAUUAUUGUGGUGUCCAUUCAAGUCUUGCUGAAUCCUUUUGUUUUUUAACAGGAAAAGAGAAAAACGCGUUUUCCCCCUCUCUCUCUCUCCUCUAUUUCACCCAUGCACAUCCUCCUCGCGUGGUUCUGGUGACAGAAUCACGGUUUCCCGGUUCCACAGCAAGCGCACCUGAGUUUGUCCCAUUCAACUCAUAAGACUUUUUCCUCCUUUCUCUCUCUCCCUGCACUCAUCAACACCUCAAACACGCGACGUUUUGUAGUAAAAUAAUCAUCGGUUAAACCUUCGCGGGACUGGAGAACUGGAAAUGAAGAGAGAUUUGACGUGUUUCUGUCGGAUUUGGUUUGGGAUCGUUGCUGCUUCAGGUCUGGUGAUUGGCUACUCUAUGACUCCGCCCACCAUUGACAGCCACAAAGAAGACCUCGUGAUCCACGCAGAUGAAACACUGACCAUCACAUGCAGGGGUCAGCGUACUCUGUCCUGGGUGUGGCCUGAGACGACCCUCGUGGGAGAGGAGCUGACUGACCGUCAGGCCGGACCCAGGCCCAGCAGAGCCCCAGGGAGAGAGACCGAGACUGGGUCUGGAACCCCUGUUUGUACCCCCGGGGCUGGGGCUGGAGUUGUGGGAGACCACCCCGUGGCCACGGAGGGGGCUGGUACGCCUGCUUCGGUCCCUGUCCAGAGAAGGGGAGUCAGCAUCCUGGAGUGUCCAGGGGAGCCUGGAAGGCCGUAUUGCAAGACCCUGGUUCUCACUGGAGCUAAAGGGAAUGAUACAGGGUACUACCGCUGUUACUACAGAGAUGUCAAGACUGUCAUCGACGGGGCCACGGCUGCUACUCUAUAUGUGUUUGUCAGAGAUUUGGAGCAGCCUUUCCUCAGGAGAAACAGAGGAAGCAACGGUGACCUGGAGACCAUCUUCAUAUCAAGAUCCUCCACUCACGUCACAGUACCGUGUCUAGUCACUGUGCCCGACCUCAACGUCACACUUUAUCUGUGGGAGAUGAUACCUAUGCUCCUGGAGGAUGAGGGGAUGGUGUGGGACAGUAAAAGAGGCUGGUCCAUCCCUAGACAAACCUUAGACUCCAGACCUUUCCUCAUUGGGAUUUACUGCGAAGCUACACGACAAGGGAGACACUACCGCUCUACCCUCUACCUGGUGCAGUCCACAGGAAGUCAGGUUUACGACUUCAAGCUCUAUCCAGAGGACUCGGUGGAGCUGUUCGUGGAGGAAGCCCUGACGCUCAACUGUACCGCCACAGUGGAGUUUAACACCCUGGUCGAGUUCCAGUGGUCCUAUCCUGGAAAACAGCUGAACAGUACAGUGGGCAUAGUGCACAAGCGUAAUUCCCUCUCUCGGUUCACGGAGGCCGUCAGCAUCCUGACCAUCCAAAGCGUCAACGUCACCGACACCGGCACUUACACCUGCUCUGCCAUCAGCGUGGACAAAAAAAUGGAUCUGGAAACACAAGUCAUAGUGUAUGAGAAACCAUUCAUCAGCCUAGACUACAGGAGCGGCCCGGUCGUCGAGGCAACAUCAGGACAGAAGUCUUUUAAACUGUUAGUCAAUGUGUCAGCAUACCCCAGACCUGACAUACAGUGGUAUAAAGGUGAUAAGUUGAUCAGCCGUCGUCCAGAGUUCAACAGGAUGCGGCUCCAUCAGCACUAUAACUUAGAGAUCAGAGACGUUCACCCUGAGGAUGCUGGGAACUACACCGUCCUCCUCAAGAACACCGCCUCCCCGCUGGAGAGGAGACUCACCAUCACACUCAUCAUCAACGUUCCCCCUCAGAUCCCUGAGAAGGAAAUAGCGACACCCUCUAACCCGUAUAGUCGUGGCAGCAGACAGACCCUCAUCUGUACAGGGUACGGACUCCCCGCCCCCAACAUCACCUGGCAGUGGAGGGCAUGGAGCCCCUGUGGCCUCAAUAGCACCCAACGCCUGGAAGACAAACACCCACACCUAUUGGGGAGAACUAAUCUGCAGCCUCUGUCAUGGAGUCGGAGGGAUCGUAAAGGGCGUAGCGACAGCGUCUCAGACUGUCAGAACUGGCAGGACCUGGACUCACAGAACACCGUUAAUAAAAUAGAAAACAUCGAGACGUCAGUCGAAGUGGUGGACGGGAGGCAGAAGAUAGUCAGCAGACUGGUGAUCCAGAACGCCAGUGUAUCAGUCAUGUAUAAAUGUUCUGCUAACAACAAAGUGGGUAAAGACCAGAAGCUGAUAUACUUCUAUGUGACCACAAUCCCAGAAGGGUUCAGUGUAGAGCUGAGUCCGUCUGAGGAACCUCUGGAGCAGGAGGAGGUGUCGCUAAGCUGCAUCGCUGACAACUACACCUACGAACAGCUCACCUGGUACAGACUGGACCCGCAGGCGCUGCAGGAUGAGAGUGGUAAACCCCUGGAGCUGGACUGUCGUAGUGUCCACCUGUACGCUGACCGCCUGGAUGGACAACUGACCUAUCAGGAGCAGUCUAACAGCUGGGUCCUGGAGAUGACUAUAGCUAGCAUCACGCUACAGGAUGAAGGGAACUAUGUCUGUGAGGUUCAGAAUAGGAGGAGCCGAGAGAAACACUGUCUACGCAAAUACAUAUCGGUUAAAGCUCUAGAAGCCCCUGGUACAGACACAACCCGGCCAAUCAAACAUUGAACGUCAGUGAGUCUCUCCUGAUGGAGUGUGAUGUAGUGGGAACUCCUUCACCACACCUCUCCUGGUUCAAAGACAACCAGCCCCUGCACCAAAUGUCAGGACUGCAGCUACAGGACGCCAACAGGACUUUGAGUAUCCAGCGUGUCAGAGAAGAGGACGCCGGUCUCUACACCUGCACCGCCUGUAAUCAGAGGGGCUGCGCACACUCCUCCGCUGCCGUCACAGUGCUGGGUUCUAGUGACAGGGCU